rnacentral:rRNA from 1 species
GUGGGGAAUAUUGGGCAAUGGGCGCAAGCCUGACCCAGCAAUGCCGCGUGGGUGAAGAAGGUCUUCGGAUUGUAAAGCCCUUUCGGCGGGGACGAUGGUGACGGUACCCGCAGAAGAAGCCCCGGCCAACUUCGUGCCAGCAGCCGCGGUAAUACGAAGGGGGCUAGCGUUGCUCGGAAUCACUGGGCGUAAAGGGCGCGUAGGCGGCGCACUUAGUCGGGCGUGAAAUCCCCGGGCUCAACCCGGGGGCUGCGCCCGAUACGGGUGCGCUCGAGGACGGGAGAGGCUCGCGGAAUUCCCAGUGUAGAGGUGAAAUUCGUAGAUAUUGGGAAGAACACCGGUGGCGAAGGCGGCGAGCUGGCCCGUUUCUGACGCUGAGGCGCGACAGCGUGGGGAGCAAACAGGAUUAGAAACCCUAGUAGUCC